UACGGAGGGAGCUAGCGUUGUUCGGAAUUACUGGGCGUAAAGCGCACGUAGGCGGCUUUGUAAGUUAGAGGUGAAAGCCUGGGGCUCAACCCCAGAAUUGCCUUUAAGACUGCAUCGCUUGAAUCCAGGAGAGGUGAGUGGAAUUCCGAGUAUAGAGGUGAAAUUCGUAGAUAUUCGGAAGAACACCAGUGGCGAAGGCGGCUCACUGGACUGGUAUUGACGCUGAGGUGCGAAAGCGUGGGGAGCAAACAGG
rnacentral:rRNA from 1 species